AUCACAGAUUCGUUAGUGGAAUCAUAAUGCUGCCAAAUUGCGGCCAAGCACGCGCCAAGCUGGAAUGGGAAGGAGAAGAUCGUUGCCUCAGGGCCCGGUCUUGCCUUCGAGCGCCGGAUUCUUCAGCCCCCAGCCCCCCGGAGUUCCAGGUUGGAUCGGGCCCGCUCAGUGCAGUUGAGAGUCCUCAGUGCAGUUGGAGUCAGUGUAAGGUUCAGUGACUUUCGGGCCGGCCCAUGCCGGCCUUUUU
rnacentral:sRNA from 1 species